AGUUGGUUAGUUUAAAAAAAAUAUUUGAUUUCGGCUCAAAAGCUCGUGGUUAAAGUCCACACCCAACUA
rnacentral:tRNA from 1 species